rnacentral:rRNA from 1 species
CAGCAAUACCGCGUGUGUGAAGAAGGCCUUAGGGUUGUAAAGCACUUUCAAUUGGGAGGAAAACCUACCGGUCAAUAUCCGGUAGCUUGACAUUACCUUUAGAAGAAGCACCGGCUAACUCCGUGCCAGCAGCCGCGGUAAUACGGAGGGUGCGAGCGUUAAUCGGAAUUACUGGGCGUAAAGCGUGCGUAGGCGGUUCGUUAAGUCAGAUGUGAAAGCCCUGGGCUCAACCUGGGAACGGCAUUUGAAACUGGCGGACUAGAGUUUAGUAGAGGGGAGUGGAAUUUCAGGUGUAGCGGUGAAAUGCGUAGAUAUCUGAAGGAACACCAGUGGCGAAGGCGACUCCCUGGACUAGAACUGACGCUGAGGUACGAAAGCGUGGGUGGCAAACAGGAUUAGAUACCCUGGUAA